rnacentral:lncRNA from 1 species
UUUUUUACUUUUUUCAUACUUUAAAUGUUAAUGAGUAUAAAUAUGAAAUGAUGUGAUAUGAUUGGCCAUGAGAUAAUCAUCCACCAGAGACCAAAGAACAUGGAUUUAAGCAACUACAGGUCAUCGUACGGCCUUUAACUAUGAGCAAAAGCCAUAUCGUAUAGGAAGCUAGUAAAGAUCUGUAUCGUUGUAACAAGACAUUAUAAUUACCGGUGUAAGUCAAUUUAAUGUAUUGCGCCGACAUUCGAAUUGAAAGUUUAAAUACCGGUUGAAUGCAUACAAUUUUCUCUGUUCAUACAUGAUUGUACAUGAUUGUACUCUGCAGUUCCUAUAUCGAUAGUAUAGUAAACAAUAUAGUUGACUUGCCUUUUGUAUUCCAAAUAUUCGUCCACAGCCUGAGCAUUUUUGUUGUCAAAUUUCAGAUGGUACUGUCUCUCCGCCAUUUUUUACUUUUACCUGGAUGUUUAUAUUAACUACGGGAUCAAUAUGUUUAUAUUCAAACCCAUUAAGCAUAUCUAAUGUUUAGUCAGACAUGUACAUUUUUGCUACACCCAAUAUUUAAAUGGUAUAAAUCUUAUUGAAAAAGAUUAAUUGUAGUGAGUGACGUAAACCAUGUACUUUGCUCUCUUAUCGCAAUCUUUGGGAAAAUACAUAUACGUAGAAAUGUAUUUGAAAAAAAAAGAGUAUACAUAAUUUUGGUGUAGAGAUAACUUUAAACCCGUAUGUAUGGUAUGGUUACCAAAUUUAACAUUUCAUUGACAAGAAUUGAAACGUGUUACUUUUUGAAUGUUUGGAUAUCACCAGUU